ACAUUAACAUACUUCUCUGUCCAAAACAAUAACUGCUAUCACUCAAAUAAUGAUAUGGUAGAACUGUGAGAGUCUUGUGAGCACUUUGUGAAGUUUUUGUUUGCGUGUGGUCAAAAAUGUGUCUUGUGGAGCAGUUUAGAGAAGUGGAUGCCUCUGGAUACUUUUCCUUUCAGUUUAAUGGGACUUAAUGCUGCAGUUGGUCGGUGUUCCUGUCAGUUCAACUAUUCAUUUUUUUCAUAACUGAAUAAACAAGCUGUUCUCAGGGGGGUCCGGGGUUUUUUGCUGGAGCCAAUUCCAGCUGUUUCUGUGCGAGGGCAGGGUACGUCCUGGACAAGUCGGCAGCUCAUGGCAGGGCCCUUCACUGAUGGCAGAGGCCGUCAUGCAAGUUUUUGUCAAAGUCACAGGGAGCUGCUGCAGAGGUGCAAAACAGCCACAUCUCGGCCCAGAGCUGCAGGAUGCUGAGGCUGAUGCCCAGAGUGCAUCCAUAGGGGCGCCACAAG